rnacentral:rRNA from 1 species
CCUACGGGAGGCAGCAGUGGGGAAUAUUGGACAAUGGGCGAAAGCCUGAUCCAGCAAUGCCGCGUGUGUGAAGAAGGCCUGCGGGUUGUAAAGCACUUUCAGUAGGGAAGAAAAGCUUAGCGCUAAUACCGUUAAGCCUUGACGUUACCUACAGAAGAAGCACCGGCUAAUUCCGUGCCAGCAGCCGCGGU